UACUCUUUUUCUUCUUCUUCUCUCUAUCUCUCUGCAAAGAUUGACUAUGUUCAUAAGUACAAAAGAUGCCUUUCUUUGGAAGAGCAGAAACCAUCCGCUGAAAAAAUUCUUCAAAUCAUUGUUGUAUCUGUGUGCUUUAUCUAUAAGAAAAUUAUCAACUUUUGGGGUGAAGGGACUGUUUGGUUUCUUUCUAUUAUUGUUGGGCCGAAUUUUUUUAGGGUGACGACUUUGUUGAAGCUUCGAUUUUUCCUUCUGAGAUCGUCUGGGGUGCUCCCCAGCUGAGAAUUUCCUUCUUAACUUGCAAAAAGAAAAAAAAGAAACUUCCGAAGAGAAGCAAGUCGGUUGUCUUUAUUUUUGGAUAUAUGAAGAACGUCAUGUGUCUAAAUAAGUGGUUUAAUCAUUCAUUACCAUCAGGAAUUUGAUUAUGUCGUUUCAGGCAGAUGGGAUAAAUUAUUUGAGGUAGGUAAUAUGGCUCAUUUUAGUUAAAAAGCAAUUAAAGAAAAAAGAACAUGGUGCCUUUAAGGAAAACUUCCAUUUAUUGACUAAUCACCAACCAUUUUGGUGAUCAUAUCUAGAAAGUUUGUUCUGCAGUGCGAAACAUAUUCAUAUUAAGGGUUUCUAAUGAUUACCUGGUUUCUGCAUUUGUUACGAUUCCUAUCAUGGUUUCUCAUAUUUCUGUCUUUUAAUCUUUUUAUUCUAUACAUAGCAGAAGGUAAAAAUGGAAAUGAGAAAAGAAGAGAUCAACCUGUUGUUCCGGUGUCUACCACAACCACCAGCAAUGCAGAAAGUACUUCGUCCACACCUAAAUUCAGCGAGGAACUGAGGGUCUCUUCUCAACUUCGGAAGUUCACUUUUGUUGAUCUUAAGUUAGCUACUAGGAAUUUCCGACCUGAGAGUCUUCUUGGCGAGGGUGGGUUUGGUUGUGUUUUCAAAGGAUGGAUUGAAGAGAAUGGAACUGCACCUGUGAAACCUGGUACAGGGCUGACUGUGGCAGUAAAAACCUUGAACCAUGAUGGACUCCAGGGUCAUAAAGAGUGGCUUGUAUGGAUCCUUAUUCAUCUACUCUCUUUCAUUUAAGUUCUACAUAUAGACUAAAAGUAUAUGCUUCUUCUUGCAUUUCUUUUCCAGUUGGUGAUCCUCAUGAUUUUCAUUAUAUGUCAGGCUGAAGUUAAUUUCCUUGGUAACCUUCUUCACCCCAAUUUAGUUAAAUUGGUGGGUUAUUGCAUUGAAGAUGAUCAAAGGCUGCUGGUAUAUGAGUUUAUGCCUCGAGGAAGUUUGGAGAACCACCUCUUCAGAAGUAUGUAACUGAUAUUUAAUUAAUUUGCACAGACGCAAUUCUUCAUGAAUAUUCCUUGUAAGCUGUAAAUUGCUUGGUUCAACCUUAUGCCAUGGUCAGUUACAUUUGUAGGCUUAGUGGCAUUUGGGGUGCUUCUUAAAUGCUCUCAACGCAUGAAUCCAAAAUUCAAGCAGCCACGUGUUCUUAGGUUAAGCAGUGGUUCUUAAUGUUUCACUAGAGUGCUCAGGGGAAAACACUAGAUAUUCAAAAUUAGGUAUGGAAUAAAUGAAUGCUUGUAUUGCAACUUCGCCUAUCAUUCUUUUCGUUUGGGUUAGGUUUGUUUCUAUAUUUAUGGGGUUUGGUUUAGUCAAAUGAUAAAACCAUGUGUAGGAUUCAGGAUUGAACGUUAAUUGAAGAUAUUUUUGGAUAACUAAGUGCAACAGUUAAGAGGUGUUCAAAUAGUUAUUGUUGGAUAUCAAUUAAUUGAUUAGUAGUUCUUCUGUCUGGCAUUUCCACACGCAUGUCUACGUGUCAAGUGGAGUCUACUAAGCCAACUAGGCAAAAAAUGCCUAUGGCACUGAAAUUGUCCUCAAAAGUUAAGAGGGAAAUCUUAUUUUGCUACCUGGCAAAUUAAAUAUAAUUUAUGGAAAAGUUCCCUGUAUAUGAGAAGAUUGAAGCAAAGUCUGUUCCUUCAUCCAGUAUUGCAAAAUUGCCAGCUUCCUAAGGCUGCUCUGUCAGUGGUAAGUUUGCAAUGAACUUACCACCUUUAGCUUGAGAGAGGAUAUCCUCAUUGUUGGCUUUAAAGGUCUUUUAUGACAAUUAACUACAGUUGAAAAAUAAUGAAGUUGGUUAAUUUGGUUUUUAUGUAUCAUUGGAAGGAUAUUAAAAGCAAAUUUGUUCCACCCGGAGUAGGAUAAUUUUCUUGUGUACUUCGGGCUGCUAUGCCUUUUGUUGUGUUAAUCAAUGUGUAGCACUAACUAUAUAGGUGGAGCAAAAUAAAUUUUAUCUUUGUUUAACUUACGCCAUUACAAUUUAUUUGUUUUGGUCUCUGUUAUGCAUGUUCAAAGUAACAGAUCUGUUCAGACAUUUUCUUGCUCUAUUUUGUUCUCUUUCUCAAAUCUUAUGUGCAUUAUCUCCUUAAUGUCUUUAGUUCUACUAGCAAUUGUUGAUAUGAAAUUUUUGGACAAAAUGAAUUUACUGUGGCUUUGUAACUGUUGCUUACAUGGAAAGGUUUUGGUAGUUUUUCCUUUUUUAAUGUUAUGGUAGUAUCUUGUUUGAAAAAACUGCUGUUAUUGUGUUAUUAUGUAAACAUUUACAUCUGUGAUUGCGCUCUUACAUCGGCACAUAUUAUUUUGCUAUGCAUCUCUAUAACAAAUUUAAUGUUCCCUGGUAAUGACCAUGUUAUGUGCAGAAGGGUCCUUGCCUCUUCCUUGGUCUAUUAGAAUGAAAAUUGCACUUGGUGCUGCAAAGGGUCUUGCCUUUCUACAUGAAGAAGCUGAAAAGCCAGUCAUAUAUCGUGAUUUUAAAACAUCAAAUAUUUUAUUAGAUGCGGUGCGUAGUUAAGACUUGUUAAAUUAAAGUGUCUGGUGUAAUCAUCAAUUUCUUAGUAAAAACAAAUGCUCAUUUCAGGAUUAUAAUGCAAAACUCUCUGAUUUUGGGCUUGCAAAAGAUGCUCCUGAGGAAGGUAAAACUCAUGUAUCUACUCGAGUCAUGGGAACAUACGGCUAUGCUGCUCCAGAAUAUGUGAUGACUGGUGCGUGGCUUUUCUGUUCUUUGUUUGAACCUAAACUUUAUUGAGCUGCUUGAAUAAAUACGUUCUUUUCCAAUCUCUAGUAUUUUGAUGGGUAGCUAGAUUCUUCACUGGUCUGCUUCAAAAAAGUCCGUAAAUGAUCACUUUCUGACAUUAUGAUAGUAUAAUAGGUUUGAAGAAAGCAGGUCUUUAUGUUUGAUACAGUUUAUAAGGACCCUCUCUUUCUUUUGCGGACUUUCUUCUUUGACAAUAAUGUCAUAUAUGUACAACUUGCUGCAUGUGCAAACAAGCCAGACAUGCUGCAUUACCUCAUGACUAAUGAAAUGUUUAGUUCAAAUUGCUCUCACUUGAUAUGUUUCUUGUCACUUCUAUAGAUAUCCUUCCAUUUUAAGUCGUGGCUACAAAGAAAUGGCAACUUUCUCCGGAACUACAUACUUUUUUGUGAUAUGAAUUGUGAUUGUGCAAUGAUGUACCAUUGAAUCACAAACUGUUUUUUCUUUUAUUAGACUAAUACAGUUCUCUCUUAUUUAGGACAUUUGACAUCAAAGAGUGACGUCUACAGCUUCGGAGUGGUUUUACUGGAAAUGCUGACUGGUCGAAGGUCCAUGGACAAGAACCGACCAAAUGGAGAGCACAACCUGGUUGAAUGGGCAAGACCACAUCUAUUGGACAAGAGAAGGUUCUACCGGUUAUUGGAUCCUCGCCUUGAAGGUCACUUCUCAAUUGGAGGUGCUCAAAAGGCCACCCAGCUUGCUGCUCAAUGUCUUAGUCGUGACCCCAAAGCUAGACCACGAAUGAGUGAAGUUGUUGAAACUCUAAAGCCUCUUCCAAACCUUAAGGAUAUGGCCAGCUCCUCAUAUUUCUUCCAAACCAUGCAAGCUGAUCGUUCCAGGUCCAGCACUUUUUCUAAAAAUGGUGUUAGAACUCAGGCAGGAUUCACAGCAAGGAAUGGGCAACCAUUAAGGAGUUUAUCCAGUCCCAAGGUCCUCAGCUUCACCAUAUCACAACAAAAACCCAUUCUCCAAAGCCUAAUGGCAAAGAUCAUAACUGAAUUGCUUUACCUUUCAAUGUUAGAUUUGGUUCUCUUGCAUAAUGGCUUCCUCAUAUAACAUUAUCAACAACAAU
rnacentral:lncRNA from 1 species